AUUAUAGCAAAUUUAUCUUUACCCCACUCCAUUAAAAAACUGUGAUAAAGAUAAAGGUCUUCACCUCACAAGUUUCUUCCAGUUGCAGAUGAAAGCUGGGCAGCAGGAAAAGCCUUCCUACUGUUUUCAUCAUGUAGACACCAGGGCUCCCUGGAAGAUGCCAGACUGAAAUGGUUUAAAUGUGAAAAGAGAUAUUUGGUUAUUAUCCAGACGUAGCCAGCCAUUAUUUAAAUUGUUCUUUUUUUUUAGGGGGGUGGGGAGUUGAAUAAAGGCUGGAAUCAGUAAU
rnacentral:lncRNA from 1 species